rnacentral:rRNA from 1 species
UACGUAGGGUGCGAGCGUUAAUCGGAAUUACUGGGCGUAAAGCGUGCGCAGGCGGUUAUGUAAGACAGGUGUGAAAUCCCCGGGCUUAACCUGGGAACUGCAUUUGUGACUGCAUAGCUAGAGUACGGUAGAGGGGGAUGGAAUUCCGCGUGUAGCAGUGAAAUGCGUAGAGAUGUGGAGGAACACCGAUGGCGAAGGCAGCCCCCCUGGGCUAACACUGACGCUCAUGCACGAAAGCGUGGGGAGCAAACAGG